UGGGGAAUAUUGCACAAUGGGGGAAACCCUGAUGCAGCCAUGCCGCGUGUGUGAAGAAGGCCUUCGGGUUGUAAAGCACUUUCAGCGAGGAGGAAAGGUCAGUAGCUAAUAUCUGCUGACUGUGACGUUACUCGCAGAAGAAGCACCGGCUAACUCCGUG
rnacentral:rRNA from 2 species